GGGAGUAUAGCUUAAUGGUACAGCAAUUGCUUAGCAGGCAGAAGGCCCUGGGUUUAAUUCCUAAUACCACCC
rnacentral:tRNA from 1 species